UAAACCGGAGGAAGGCGGGGAUGACGUCAAGUCCUCAUGGCCCUUACGAUCCCGGGCUACACACGUGCUACGAAUGGCAGGUACAGAGGGCUGCGAAGCCGCGAGGUGGAGCGAAUCCCAGAAAACCUGUCUCAGUCCGGAUUGAAGUCUGCAACUCGACUUCAUGAAGGCGGAAUCGCUAGUAACCGCGAAUCAGCAGGUCGCGGUGAAUACGUUCCCGGGCCUU
rnacentral:rRNA from 1 species